rnacentral:rRNA from 1 species
UAGUUGAAGGAUUUGGAAAAUUCCGCUAAAGAGGGUGAAAGCCCCGUAGACGAAAUGCUGACAACACCUAGGAGGAUCCUGAGUACGGCGGAACACGAGAAAUUCCGUCGGAAUCCGCGGGGACCAUCCCGCAAGGCUAAAUACUCCCUAGUGACCGAUAGUGAACCAGUACCGUGAGGGAAAGGUGAAAAGCACCCCGGAAGGGGAGUGAAAUAGAUCCUGAAACCGUGUGCCUACAACAAGUCAAAGCUCGUUAAUGAGUGAUGGCGUGCCUUUUGUAGAAUGAACCGGCGAGUUACGAUUGCAUGCGAGGUUAAGUCGAAGAGACGGAGCCGCAGCGAAAGCGAGUCUGAAUAGGGCGAAUGAGUAUGUAGUCGUAGACCCGAAACCAUGUGAUCUACCCAUGUCCAGGUUGAAGGUGCGGUAAAACGCACUGGAGGACCGAACCCACGUACGUUGAAAAGUGCGGGGAUGAGGUGUGGGUAGCGGAGAAAUUCCAAACGAACUUGGAGAUAGCUGGUUCUCUCCGAAAUAGCUUUAGGGCUAGCCUCGGAAUUGAGAAUGAUGGAGGUAGAGCACUGUUUGGACUAGGGGCCCAUCUCGGGUUACCGAAUUCAGAUAAACUCCGAAUGCCAUUCAUUUAUAUCCGGGAGUCAGACUGCGAGUGAUAAGAUCCGUAGUCGAAAGGGAAACAGCCCAGACCACCAGCUAAGGUCCCAAAAUAUAUGUUAAGUGGAAAAGGAUGUGGGGUUGCACAGACAACUAGGAUGUUGGCUUAGAAGCAGCCACCAUUUAAAGAGUGCGUAAUAGCUCACUAGUCGAGUGACCCUGCGCCGAAAAUGUACCGGGGCUAAACAUAUUACCGAAGCUGUGGACUACACCAUUAGGUGUAGUGGUAGGAGAGCGUUCUAAGGGCGUUGAAGGUCGAUCGUGAGGACGGCUGGAGCGCUUAGAAGUGAGAAUGCCGGUAUGAGUAGCGAAAGACAGGUGAGAAUCCUGUCCACCGUAUGACUAAGGUUUCCUGGGGAAGGCUCGUCCGCCCAGGGUUAGUCGGGACCUAAGCCGAGGCCGAUAGGCGUAGGCGAUGGAC